UAUGGAGAGUUUGAUCCUGGCUCAGGACGAACGCUGGCGGCGUGCUUAACACAUGCAAGUCGAACGAUGAAGCCUGCAACUUGUUGUGGGUGGAUUAGUGGCGAACGGGUGAGUAAUACGUGGGUAACCUGCCCUCCUUUUUGGGAUAAGCCUUGGAAACGGGGUCUAAUACCGAAUAUUCUGGCGCUCUCGCAUGGGGGUGUUGGGAAA
rnacentral:rRNA from 1 species